ACUUGGCAUCUCCUGAGUCGCCAGAGAGAAGCUGCCUUGUACUGAGUGCUGAGGAGGGGGCGCUGGGUGGCAUCCCUGGGCAAGCUGGUUGCUAAGCAGCACAGGCCCUUGCAUUUCCUGGGUUGUUCCCGUGUUUCAUUCCUCCACUGCCUGGACAGUAUUUGAACGAGACGUAUUUUACAAAAGGACUAGUGGAUUGCGGGGUCCCACGACAUCACCUCAUAGAUGCAGUCGAUGGUUUGUUCUGGGUUCAGACUUGUUUCCGGUAAGAAACCCUGACAGAAAUUCAUUAGAACUGGAGCUGCAUUCCAUUAAGACUUGAAUACACGAAAUGUUCAUCUCAGGACCUUCUAGAAGAAUGAGCUGGGACUCACUUUCCGAGUCCUGCUGGAACCAGAGACCAAGAAAAUAAAAAGGCCCUGAAAGACAAGUGUAAUGCAUUGAGGUCUGUGAAAGCCACAAAGGAAGCAAAAGUCAAACAGCUGAAGGAGAAAGCACAUAACCUGGAAGAAUUCUAUGAACAAAGAAAAGUGCCUACUAAAAGUAAGAUGGGGGCGCCUGGGUGGCUCAGUCAGUUGAACGUCCAACUUCGGCUCAGGUCAUGAUCUCACGGUCCAAUAACUGCUAGAACUGAUAAAUGAAUUCAGCAAUGUCACAGGAUACAAAAUCGUUGUACAGAAAUCUGUUGCAUUUCUAAACAAUGAAGCAGUAGAAAGAGAAAUUAAGAAAACAGUCCCAUUUAGAGUUGUACACCAAAUAAUAAGGUAUCUAUCAAUAAAUCUAACCGAAGUGG